rnacentral:rRNA from 1 species
AACGAACGCUGGCGGCAGGCUUAACACAUGCAAGUCGAGCGCCCCGCAAGGGGAGCGGCAGACGGGUGAGUAACGCGUGGGAAUCUACCCUCCACUACGGAACAACUCCGGGAAACUGGAGCUAAUACCGUAUACGUCCUUCGGGAGAAAGAUUUAUCGGUGAUGGAUGAGCCCGCGUUGGAUUAGCUAGUUGGUGGGGUAAUAGCCUACCAAGGCGACGAUCCAUAGCUGGUCUGAGAGGAUGAUCAGCCACAUUGGGACUGAUACACGGCCCAAACUCCUACGGGAGGCAGCAGUGGGGAAUAUUGGACAAUGGGCGAAAGCCUGAUCCAGCCAUGCCGCGUGAGUGAUGAAGGCCCUAGGGUUGUAAAGCUCUUUCACCGGUGAAGAUAAUGACGGUAACCGGAGAAGAAGCCCCGGCUAACUUCGUGCCAGCCGCCGCAGUAA